UUCGGAAAUGUCAAAAAACUGAUUUUUUGUUUUUUGUGUUUCAAAAAUUAUUUUUAGAAUUUUUUAUUGCACACGACAGCAUCGUAAAAUCAAAAUUACGCGCGUUUGAUAUCUAUGAUUGUAAGAUGGCGGAUUUCAGUCACUACGCAGAACGUGACAAAAAUGCGUUCAAGAAACGAGCACACCUUGUUUCUUCCACAAUGACACAACCCAACCUAAUCCUCUAAUCGACACAAAUAACAAAUCAACACGGGCAGUAGGCGUAUUCUGUAACUCUUAACGACAGCUAGGGAUAUCGUUACGUGUCGUUGCGCAGCUUUUCUACUAUUUAUAUUCUGUGCGCAACGACGCUGCAACGAUACCGAAUUGUCGUUAUGAAGUUAGAGAAUAGGCCUACAGGGCUGGGAUUCUCUAACUCGUUAUGACAAUUCGGUAUCGUUACAGUGUCGGUGCGCAGCUUUUCUAUCAUGUAUAAUAUCUGCGUAACGACGCUAUAACGAUACCGAAUUGUCGCUAAAGAGUUACAGAAUCCCGUUACAGAUACCGGUAGACUGCAGCAGACACGGGACACAAGACGUGCACAAAGAAAUUUAAAAAUAUAAAGAAUUUAAAGAUAAUAAGAAACAUGUCAGAUUGUGAAAACUACGAAUAUUUAGACGAAGCAGGAGAAUUUGAUACAGAAAAUAUUGAUAAAUAUUAAUAUUAGAAGUGCAAGAGAGGCCGUGUUUAUGGGAUCAUAGAUUAGAUAUAAAAAUGAGAGGAAUGAAUACAAUUCGAAAAUCAUGGGAAAAAGUUGGUAAAGCCGUCAAUGCAGAUUCAAAAAUUUUCCAAAAAAAUAGCAAAAUUUACGUGAUACAUUUUUGAGGAAAUAUAAAAAUGAGAGAAGUUAUAUUGCAAGUGGUAGUGCAGCCACAAAGAAAAUAACAAAUUGGAAAUAUCAUAAACAAAUGCAAUUUUUAAAACCGAUCACAGAACACAGAAGAACAUUCAGCAAUAUACAAGUGAUUACAGAUUUAAAUAAAUUUAAAUGUUAUUCAAAAUCGAAUGCAGACAAAAGCUAUAUAGAAGAGAUAUGUAUAGAAAGCAGAUCUCCAACAUUAUUGAAAAAUAGAGAUAGAAAUUAAUGUAUCAGUACAUUAGCAUGGUCAUCAAAAACUAAAAUUGCGCAAUGUGAGACUUUUUUCCUUCAUCGCCAUCCAGUCGAAGUUCAACUCCUUUGUUGUCUGCAAGCAACUCACAGAAAAGGAAGAAAUCGGAUGCUUUCAAAAAGUCGUCUACAGAACAAUCUGAUAGAUUCAAAGAGUUUAUUAUGGGACAAGUUGCACAACCCCAAAGUAAAGCAGCUGCAUUUUGUAAUUUUAUUAAAACACGUUUAAAAAAAUUUAACAGACAAUUUUAUUUAGAAGCAACGCAUAAUAUUAUGAGUGAGUUUAUAAAACUGGAAAAAAAGCUGAAGAACAUCAAAAAUAAAUAUUUAAUAUUUUUUCAUAUAUUUUAAAACAGUA
rnacentral:lncRNA from 13 species